AUGAUUUAGUGAGGUCUUCGGACCGGCCGUGGCCGCAGGCGCAAGCUUGCAGCUUCUGGUUGGGAAGACGACCAAACUGGCUCAUUUAGAGGAAGUAAAAGUCGUAACAAGGUUUCCGUAGGUGAACCUGCGGAAGGAUCAUUA
rnacentral:rRNA from 1 species